CUGCAUAUUUGGGCCAGUUUCUCUAAGGGCACAGCUGGAGGUGGAGUCACUGUGUAUGCACAACAAACACAAACGCAGGAAAAAUGAUACGUCAUGUAAGAACUUAUUUUCACCCUUGGGGUUGCCGUGGUAAAGAACUGUCCACUGAAUGGAGAAUUCUGUUCACAUUUCUCAA